GCGGGAAGAGCUCAAAUUUAUAAUCUGGCACCUUCGGUGUCCGAGUUGUAAUCUCUAGAAAUGUUUUCCGCGUUGGACCGCACACAAGUCUGUUGGAAUACAGCGGCAUAGUGGUGAGACCCCCGUAUAUGGUGCGGACGCCCAGCGCUUUGUGAUACAUUUUCGAAGAGUCGAGUUGUUUGGGAAUGCAGCUCAAAUUGGGUGGUAAAUUCCAUCUAAAGCUAAAUAUUGGCGAGAGACCGAUAGCGAACAAGUACCGUGAGGGAAAGAUGAAAAGCACUUUGGAAAGAGAGUUAACAGUACGUGAAAUUGUUGGAAGGGAAACGCUUGAAGUCAGACUUGCUUGCCGAGCAAUCGGUUUGCAGGCCAGCAUCAGUUUUCCGGGAUGGAUAAUGGUAGAGAGAAGGUAGCAGUUUCGGCUGUGUUAUAGCUCUCUGCUGGAUACAUCUUGGGGGACUGAGGAACGCAGUGUGCCUUUUGGCGGGGGUUUCGACCUCUUCACACUUAGGAUGCUGGUGGAAUGGCUUUAAACGAC
rnacentral:rRNA from 1 species